GGAUUCCACACAGGAAGGUCACACCAUCCCCCACCAUCAUCAGCGUGGAAACCUCAAGGAUUACAAUAUUGUUGUUAAAGAAGAGUUUGAAGAGGGGGAUGAUGAGCUCUCUGAGGAACACCAGCAUAUCUACAAGGACAUCAUGAUGGAAUCACCUAAUACCAGGAACCCACCAGAGAGAUGCCCCCAUCCUCUGUAUUCCGGGGAUUCCACACAGGAAGAUCACAACAUCUUUCACCAUUACAAGGUUGAAGAUCUGAUGGAUAUAAAAGUUGAGGUUAAAGCAGAAGAAGAGAGGUAUGUGAGGGAUGAUCAGCAGUCUAUGGAGGAGGAUGGAAUAACG